GGUUUUAUGAAUGGUCUAGGGCUGUUUGAGAGCUUGCGAUGGUGAUCCUACUAGGCAUGUUGCUGCUGAUUGUGCUGGCGAUGCUGCACCCGCCGCCUAAGCAUCGCAAUGUGUGGGCUACUGCCACCUGGAUCCUCUUCCUUGUGGUGGGCAUUUUGAUUUUUCUUGCUCUGUGGGAGAGAUAUGGACACUUUGAGGAAGUAUUUUCUCCUGUCGUGAUUCUAGAAAACUGGUUUGCAGUCAAGAAGGGCACUAGUUCUGCGUUACCUUGGAGAUUGCCCUCUUAUGGAAAUCGUCGAGGCUUACUAAUAGUGGUCAACGAUGAGAAUAUCACUAGAUGCACUGAUGAUGCUGCUGACAUUGAGAUGUUACGCCACGAGUCUUUUGGAUACACUGAAGUCUAGCUCCUGUCCGGUAUCGUUACUGGUUUAUGAUUGUUUGCGUCUCUUUACUUUACAUGGUUGGUUUUUGUUAGGUCCGAGCACUAGACGUGCUUAUUUUGCAAUCAAAAAGUUCAUCACAAGUGGAGUUACUGGAGAUCGGCUUUUCUUCUUCUUUUGUGGACAUGGUUUGGAGAGCCUUCUUGAUAUGAAUGGUGAUGAACUUGAUGGCAACAAUGAAGCAAUUUGCUUCUCAAAUGGACUUCAGUUUAUCCAAAGGACUUGUGGAGUAGCAUCUCAAUGUCAGCAACGUCAUCAGUGCAUCCAGUGAUAUUCUCAUCAUUAACCGUUAUUAGUAGGCCUCGACGAUCUUUAUAAAAAGGCAAUCUCCAGGGUAACGCGGAAUCAGUGCCCUUCUUGACCGCAAACUAGUUUUCUAAAGUCACGACGGGAGAAAACGCUUCCUCAAAGUGUCCCUAUCUCUCCCACAGAGCAAGAAGAAUCGAAAUGCUCACUAGAAUAAAUAGCAUCAGCAAUGUUGAAUGGCAGCAAUCUAUAAGCAUCGAAAAAGAUUUGGGUGCUCGUAGAUGAUAUUCUACAUAAGAUAAUGGUAGAAGAUCUUCAACCUGGUGUCCAGCUAACUGCUGUGCUUAACACAUGCCACAGCGGCACGAUGCUUAAUUUGCCUUUCCAGACAACAGGGAAAAGAUGGAUGAAGGCUUCGAAUCAAGUUUCAACUCCGCUGCAGGCAAAGGUUUCUUCAAAACGACUGUUACCUCAAUUGCAGCGUGCCUGGAUCACGAGAUAACUUUGUUUUUUCUGUUAUUCUUUUCAGGAUCGAACUCAGAGACACAGUCUUUUCACUCUCGAUUUCACCAAAUCCAUUCGUGAAGGAGCAAACACGUACAAGCUACUCCUUGAGAGUAUGCACAAGAAGCAGCAAGAAGCUGGAUUAAGGAAUAGCACAAUCAAUAUAUGUGCAACUGAACCGUUUUCUCUUGAUCAGGUACUUGUGUUGUAGCCUCUGAAUGAAGUUCUCCUGGCGUUAAUAAAGUUUACUGACUUUCCACUCG